rnacentral:tRNA from 1 species
AGUAGAAUGGCUGAGGUGUAGGUGAUAGAUUGUAAAUCUAUUAAGGGAUAUUGGAUGUCCUUCUGCUA